UACGUAGGGGGGCUAGCGUUGUCCGGAAUCAUUGGGCGUAAAGCGCGUGUAGGCGGUUCGGUAAGUCCGCUGUGAAAGUCGGGGGGCUCAACCCUCGAAUGCCGGUGGAUACUGUCGGGCUAGAGUCCGGAAGAGGCGAGUGGAAUUCCCGGUGUAGCGGUGAAAUGCGCAGAUAUCGGGAGGAACACCAAUGGCGAAGGCAGCUCGCUGGGACGGUACUGACGCUGAGACGCGAAAGCGUGGGGAGCGAACAGG
rnacentral:rRNA from 1 species